UACCAGCGUGCAAGAGACAGACCGGAUCCUGU
rnacentral:piRNA from 1 species